UACGUAGGGGGCAAGCGUUGUCCGGAAUUAUUGGGCGUAAAGCGUACGCAGGCGGCUUUGCAAGACAGGUGUGAAAUCCCCGGGCCUAACCUGGGAACUGCAUUUGUGACUGCAUAGCUAGAGUUUGUCAGAGGGGGGUGGAAUUCCACGUGUAGCAGUGAAAUGCGUAGAUAUGUGGAGGAAUACCGAUGGCGAAGGCAGCCCCCUGGGAUAACACUGACGCUCAUGCACGAAAGCGUGGGGAGCAAACAGG
rnacentral:rRNA from 1 species